AUGCUGUGGAAGGCAAGAGAAAGAACAUCUCCCCUCUUCCUGAACCACAGAGGACCUGAGAUCCACCAGUUGGGAGGAACAACAGGCCACUCGUCCUCAUAUUCAGUCACUGCCUAUCAGAUUCAAUGUGCCCUUGCACCACCAAUGACCUGGCUCCACCCAUGGAAUGGAGAUACUUCUCUGCGCAUUGACUUCAGGCUUGGCCAUGACCAGCUUUGGUCCAAGGAAGGUGACUGCCACACGGAGGGGACUGCACAGGUGCUGAGCAGGAGAGUCGAGGGGAAGGAACUCAGCAGUGAGAAGCCAUGCCCCCCCAAACUGGCAGUGAGCUGUCUCUCCCUCAGCUGCCCAAUCCAUAAAUAGGAUACGGCCACCAAGGCGUCUUUAAAGGCCUGUUAACAUUCAAUGAAAUAAGAGCUAUGAAAGCACUUGGGAUCAGCAAGAAUGCUACAGCUAUAAUAGCACUGCUUUGAGCGAACAGCAAUCUUUAGAAAAUGAUUGGCAUCAGGUUAUCCUACAGUAAGCCUAGAAAAUGUAUUCUAAAGCCCAUCCACCUGGAGAUGCUUAACAGCAGAAUAGUAUAUAAGCCUUUAUCCCAGGAUAGGUUGAAGAGAGCCUGCCCUUUGGUAAGUUCUCAUCAGCCCUUCUCACCCUUUGUCCUUUCAUGCGGGUAUGGAUUUGAUUACAGUGAAUCUAAAGAAGUCCCCGUAGGAAUCACUGUGUCACCUUCGAGGGCCAACUAGGAGGCCAGCUGCACAGUUCCCUACCUGGGGGAAUGAGGCAAAAUCUAUCUCGACUUUGGACCCCAUCCACAGUGUGAUCUCACAGAAAGGAUUCUAGGGUUUUCUCUGUUACAGUGUGACUGACCGAUUUUCAAUUUUUAUUAAAAUUCUUGUUCACACCCUAAAUCCUUUUAAUCCCAACCAAAUGUUUGAGACCCUGGAUGAAAACAUCAGCCUUUCAUUACAUGACAGCCAGAGAAUAGUCCCUGUGGCUAUUCUUGAUAAUGCCAAGUUUAGUUUCUUGGGUUUUCUGUAUAGAAGUGUCUAAUACAAAGAUAGCAAAAUCCUGCACCGAUACUGUGUUAUCGACUACGGGGGUUCUGAGGUGGUAUCUGCAUGCACUCCAUGAAUUGCUUCUAGGGAGACAAAAAGGACCAGAAAUAGAUUCACUAUUUCACCAUCGAGCAGCAUUCCUAGGAAGCAGAGUGAGGAAAAGGUCCACCGGGUCUGGUCCUGAAAGGGCUGCAUCUGAGGGGACAGCACAGUCCCACAGAUGUCGAGGUUCAAGCCCUGUCACGGGCAGCGCUACACACAGCAGUAAACAUAAUCAGUGGAGCGUCUGAGAGCUGACUCCCUGAGACCCACUGCACCCCCUCGCCAUCAUCACCACCUCACUGUCAGCUCCCUGCCACCCACUGGCCGGGACAGAGCCGGCGGACAGCUUGGACCAGGCUUUGUUGAAAAGGCUGAACUGAGAUUCUUCCCACUUCUUUGGCCUCGCGCCUGGGCAAAUGAAUAAGCUGCCUGUGUCACUAACAUAUUCCAGGUCAUGCACACACACAAACAUUAUUAUAUCUUGGAAUUACUUUUAAAUUGCUGUCUUUUGGGUUUUAACCAUUUUCCUAGAAAGGCAGCUCAGCAAAUCCUUGCGUGGAGCAAGGAUGGCACCCAGUGGCCAAAGUGUUUCAUCUCAGAUCUUGUUUUCUUGAAGAUUUUUCUGUAGGCUUUUCACUUUGGGAACAAUGAAAGCCACAGGAUCUUUAUUCUAGAGCCAGAGUUGAAGCUCCAAAUCACCUGACUAUCUGUUUUAAGCUGAAGUGCACUCAAACACACACACACACACACACACAAGUUGGGGCAGUAUUCAGAGAUUAAUUCAGAAUAACUGCUAAAAAGCCUCAAAGUUUUACCAUCAAUGUCUUGGGUUAAAGUCAUCACAGUGCACAUAUGCAGAUCACCGCCCGUGAUGUCCCUCAUGUCAUACAUCACCCUAGGAAAUACCAUACAAACAUCAGCCCAGCCUCACAUUCUUUACUUCAUAUCUUCCCCAAAUAGUCUCUAGCUCAUGAGUUCUCAUGCCUUAAACAUAAGACUUUAUCUCCUGACAAGUGCUUUAUCAUUAAACUGAUGUUUGCAAUCUCAUAUCCCUGUUAUCUUUCUUAUAAGGUACUUGGCAGGCCUGGAGAGCACAGGAUAAUAAAGUGGCUCUGCUCUUUUUUCCUUUGAGCUUUCCAGAUGUCGAGAGAUUUCUAUACAGCUAGAUAACCAAUCAGGCUGUAAAGAAGACAAGCAAGAUGUCAGAAUAAUGGAUCAUACACCCUCUUGCUGAAAUGAUGCAAUAUCUUCAUAACGUUUGCUAUUUCCAAUUUCCUUAGGUUUCUAAGCAGUGUGAAACCCUAGGGCAAGAAGUCACGUGGAUGGCACAACCACAAUACAAAGAGACGCUUCUAAUAAAGUAGUUAAUAACAAAAUAUAUUGAUUGCCCAAAGAAUACCAUGACAAGUCUCUUCUUUUUAAAUGCCUAAAUUCAGCCAAAAAAAUUCUUUUUCCUCAGACAUCAUCCCCCAUUCAUGCUUGUUUGGUACCCAGGCUGUUGAAAUGCCCCAAAAGUUCCAAGAUAAAAGUUAAAUCAAGAGAAGUGACUUCAACAUAAAAUUCCAUGAUAUUGUUUACAUUUUCCUAUUCAGCUACUUAAAAAGAAGACCUGUCUUCCAAACCAAAACAAAACACUGGAGGGAAAAAAUUAAAGCCAAGAACGUGCAUUGCUCUCUCUGGUGCUUUGGUGCUUGUUGUCUCACAUGUAAAAUGCAGCUGUAAUAAAGCAGCCCUCACCAAGAGCUUAUGAGACUCAGAUGAGAGAAAAGGUUUUUCUACACUGCUGAGUCAUUACUUAAGAUAUUACUAAACAUUUAGAGGUGGC
rnacentral:lncRNA from 1 species